rnacentral:rRNA from 1 species
UCGGGAAUAUUGCUCAAUGGGCGCAAGCCUGAAGCAGCAACGCCGCGUGCGCGAUGAAGGCCUUCGGGUCGUAAAGCGCUUUUCGGUGGGAUGAGGAAGGACAGUACCACCGGAAUAAGGGACGGCUAACUACGUGCCAGCAGCCGCGGUAAAACGUAGGUCCCGAGCGUUAUCCGGAUUUACUGGGCGUAAAGCGCGUGCAGGCGGCUCCGCAAGUCGGGCAUGAAAUCUCUCGGCUCAACCGAGAGAGGUUGUCCGAUACUGCGGGGCUUGAGGACGGAAGAGGCGGGUGGAAUUCCGCAUGUAGUGGUGAAAUGCGUAGAGAUGCGGAGGAACACCAGUGGCGAAAGCGGCCCGCUGGCCCGCUCCUGACGCUCAGACGCGAAAGCUCGGGGAGCGAACGGGAUUAGAAACCCCGGUAGUCCGAGCCGUAAACGAUGUUGACUAGGCGUGCCUGGCUUCAACUCCAGGCGUGCUGGAGCUAACGCGAUAAGUCAACCGCCUGGGGACUACGGCCGCAAGGUUA